rnacentral:rRNA from 1 species
CCCUUAGAUGUCCUGGGCCGCACGCGCGCUACACUGACUGGUUCAACGAGUUUAUUCCUUGCCCGAUGGGGCUGGGUAAUCUUUUAAAAGCCAGUCGUGCUGGGGCUUGACAAUUGCAAUUAUUUGUCACCAACGAGGAAUUCCUUGUAAGCGCAAUUCAUCAGAUUGCAUUGAUUACGUCCCUGCCCUUUGUACACACCGCCCGUCGCACCUACCGAUUGAAUGGUCCGGUGAAAUCUCGGGAUUGUGGCCAGUUCACUUUAUUGGGAGUUGGCUGCGAGAACUUGCUUAAACCUUAUCAUUUAGAGGAAGGUGAAGUCGUAACA